rnacentral:rRNA from 1 species
GAUGAACGCUGGCGGCGUGCCUAAUACAUGCAGGUCGAGCGAACAGAUGAGGAGCUUGCUCCUCUGACGUUAGCGGCGGACGGGUGAGUAACACGUGGAUAACCUACCUAUAAGACUGGGAUAACUUCGGGAAACCGGAGCUAAUACCGGAUAAUAUAUUGAACCGCAUGGUUCAAUAGUGAAAGACGGUUUUGCUGUCACUUAUAGAUGGAUCCGCGCCGCAUUAGCUAGUUGGUAAGGUAACGGCUUACCAAGGCGACGAUGUGUAGCCGACCUGAGAGGGUGAUCGGCCACACUGGAACUGAGACACGGUCCAGACUCCUACGGGAGGCAGCAGUAGGGAAUCUUCCGCAAUGGGCGAAAGCCUGACGGAGCAACGCCGCGUGAGUGAUGAAGGUCUUCGGAUCGUAAAACUCUGUUAUUAGGGAAGAACAAAUGUGUAAGUAACUAUGCACGUCUUGACGGUACCUAAUCAGAAAGCCACGGCUAACUACGUG